UGUAUUGAUCUAGCACAGUGUAAAUAACAUGAGUUCCAUUAUAGUAAAUAAUACAGAAAGAAAUUGAAGGAAAACAAUUAAAGCAAGUCUUGCAUUUUCGGUUCAGUUUUGUACCGAGAUUUUCCGAGGUUGACAAGUCUCUCUUUCUCGCUUGGCCUCCCCGUGCUACGUCAUGUAAUGUACACUAUAGUGGAUCGAUAUGACAAUGAAAGAGAGACUUGGAGCAAGUCUA
rnacentral:lncRNA from 1 species